GACGAACGCUGGCGGCGUGCCUAAACAUGCAAGUCGAGCGGGGCGACCGGAGGCGGUAGAGAUACCGAGGAAGGGCGCCUAGCGGCGAACGGGUGAGUAACGCGUGGGCAAUCUGCCCCCGGGAGCGGGAUAACAGACCGAAAGGCCUGCUAAUACCGCAUGAAGCCGUCAUAUCACAUGGUAAGACGGUAAAAGGGGAAACCCGCCUGGGGAGGAGCCCGCGUCCCAUUAGCUAGUUGGUGGUGUAACGGACCACCAAGGCGAUGAUGGGUAGCCGGCCUGAGAGGGUGAACGGCCACAUUGGGACUGAGACACGGCCCAGACUCCUACGGGGGGCAGCAGUGAGGGAUUUUCGGCAAUGGGCGAAAGCCUGACCGAGCGACGCCGCGUGAGCGAAGAAGGCCUUCGGGUCGUAAAGCUCUGUCUAGGGGGAAGAGAAAGGACGGUACCUCUGGAGGAAGCCACGGCUAACUACGUG
rnacentral:rRNA from 1 species